CGCGUAGGUAACCUGCCUGGUAGCGGGGGAUAACUAUUGGAAACGAUAGCUAAUACCGCAUAACAGUAGAUGUUGCAUGACAUUUGCUUAAAAGGUGCAAUUGCAUCACUACCAGAUGGACCUGCGUUGUAUUAGCUAGUUGGUGGGGUAACGGCUCACCAAGGCGACGAUACAUAGCCGACCUGAGAGGGUGAUCGGCCACACUGGGACUGAGACACGGCCCAG
rnacentral:rRNA from 1 species